UUUUUUUUUAUCCACAUUAGGUUCUGUACAUUAGUCACAUUGUGCCUAACUUUUAAGAAACAUUAAUAUGUAUAAUAAGGUGCGCUCGUAGGUCUGUCAUCUGUGGUGGUUUAUGUUGUUUUGGUGUGCAAUCUAGGUGGCAGGGGGAGUUGAGUCUUUCCCCUGUGGGAGUGUAUAUUGACAGUUUGCCUGACCGCCCUUGUCGUUUUGAGGGUU